rnacentral:rRNA from 1 species
UACGUAGGUGGCAAGCGUUGUCCGGAUUUACUGGGCGUAAAGAGCGCGCAGGCGGUCGUUCAAAUCGCGUGUGAAAGCCCCCCGGCUCAACUGGGGAGGGUCACGCGAUACUGAUCGACUCGAAGGCAGGAGAGGGUAGUGGAAUUCCCGGUGUAGUGGUGAAAUGCGUAGAUAUCGGGAGGAACACCAGUGGCGAAGGCGACUACCUGGCCUGUUCUUGACGCUGAGGCGCGAAAAGCUAGGGGAGCAAACGGG